UACGUAGGUGGCAAGCGUUGUCCGGAAUUACUGGGUGUAAGGGGGGCGCAGGCGGGACUGCAAGUCAGCGGUGAAAUACAUGGGCUUAACCCAUGGGCUGCCGUUGAAACUGUAGAUCUUGAGUGGAUUAGAGGCAAGCGGAAUUCCGAGUGUAGCGGUGAAAUGCGUAGAUGUUCGGAGGAACACCAGUGGCGAAGGCGGCUUGCUGGGGUCUAACUGACGCUGAGGCCCGAAAGUGUGGGGAGCAAAC
rnacentral:rRNA from 1 species